UACAGAGGGGCAAGCGUUGUUCGGAAUUACUGGGCGUAAAGCGCACGUAGGCGGCUUUGUAAGUUAGAGGUGAAAGCCCGGGGCUCAACUCCGGAAUUGCCUUUAAGACUGCAUCGCUAGAAUUGUGGAGAGGUAAGUGGAAUUCCGAGUGUAGAGGUGAAAUUCGUAGAUAUUCGGAAGAACACCAGUGGCGAAGGCGACUUACUGGACACAUAUUGACGCUGAGGUGCGAAAGCGUGGGGAGCAAACAGG
rnacentral:rRNA from 1 species